UACGUAGGGUGCAAGCGUUGUCCGGAAUUACUGGGCGUAAAGUGUGCGCAGGCGGCUUCGCAAGUCGAGUGUGAAAUCCCCGAGCUUAACUUGGGAAUUGCGCUCGAAACUACGGAGCUGGAGUGUGGCAGAGGAAGGUGGAAUUCCACGUGUAGCGGUGAAAUGCGUAGAGAUGUGGAGGAACACCGAUGGCGAAGGCAGCCUUCUGGGCCAACACUGACGCUCAUGCACGAAAGCGUGGGGAGCAAACAGG
rnacentral:rRNA from 1 species